AUUAUAUUGGCUAUGUUUAUCCUAAAUCAUACACACUCUAAAUUUCAUUGUGUUUUGACUUUUUAAAGGUAAUAAGCUCCUAUUAUUUAAGAAAGAUCACCUCUUCUAAGGUUUAACUUGAUUGUUUGGUGGAACAAAAGUAGACAUGACUACAAAUCGGAGUUUCCUAUAAGAUAUAAUUUGGCUCCGACUAAUUUAAAUUUGUGUUGUUUAAGAUUCUUCUUAUUUUGGUUUCCCAUCCGGUGUCCUGUGUCCGCAUUGGAGCCCCGACUAAUCCGGAUCGUGCGUUGCAAGGCCCAUUAAGGUGGCAGCGCUCCCAACAGAAUUUUCUCCAUACCCAGGAUCGAACCCUCGACGUGUUGUAUAAAAUUCAUUAAAGAGAGACACACUCUCAAUAUUUGUAGGAAUAACAACCCUGGACCACAUUUCGACCCUAUCUUUAAGACGUAGCCAAUGUCAUGCAGCUUCAAAUUCAAUCAGAACUCUGCAACAAAUGCUAUUUUUCAAUUUAAAAUUGUUAAUUGUGAUUUUUUUCAAUAAAUCUUCAAAGCUCAAAUUCAAAAUGUAUGACUGAGGAUGAAGGGAUAUAAUCCAUCCACUCUGAUCUUGGGCUA